CCGUGUUGUGAUUUGGGGAGGGCGGUCAGCGCGCGUUCCCGUGUUUAGGGAAUAUGUAUAUCGCUCGUUAACCGCCCUCCCGAGAUUACUGCUCGG
rnacentral:pre_miRNA from 1 species